UACGGAGGAUGCAAGCGUUAUCCGGAAUGAUUGGGCGUAAAGCGUCCGCAGGUGGCUGUGUAAGUCUGCUGUUAAAGAGCAAGGCUCAACCUUGUAAAGGCAGUGGAAACUACACGGCUAGAGUGCGUUCGGGGCAGAGGGAAUUCCUGGUGUAGCGGUGAAAUGCGUAGAGAUCAGGAAGAACACCGGUGGCGAAGGCGGCUUCCUGGACCGACACUGACGCUGAGGCGCGAAAGCUAGGGGAGCAAACGGG
rnacentral:rRNA from 1 species